rnacentral:rRNA from 1 species
GUGGGGAAUAUUGGGCAAUGGGCGCAAGCCUGACCCAGCAACGCCGCGUGAAGGAAGAAGGCUUUCGGGUUGUAAACUUCUUUUACCAGGGACGAAACAAAUGACGGUACCUGGUGAAUAAGCCACGGCUAACUACGUGCCAGCAGCCGCGGUAAUACGUAGGUGGCGAGCGUUAUCCGGAUUUAUUGGGUGUAAAGGGCGUGUAGGCGGGACAGCAAGACAGAUGUGACAACCAGAGGCUCAACCUCUGGCCUGCAUUUGAAACUGUUGUUCUUGAGUGUCGGAGAGGUAAUCGGAAUUCCGUGUGUAGCGGUGAAAUGCGUAGAUAUACGGAGGAACACCAGUGGAGAAGGCGGAUUACUGGACGAUAACUGACGCUGAGGCGCGAAAGCGUGGGGAGCAAACAGGAUUAGAAACCCCGGUAGUCC